rnacentral:rRNA from 1 species
GACGAACGCUGGCGGCGUGCUUAACACAUGCAAGUCGAACGGAAAGGCCCUGCUUUUGUGGGGUGCUCGAGUGGCGAACGGGUGAGUAACACGUGAGUAACCUGCCCUUGACUUUGGGAUAACUUCAGGAAACUGGGGCUAAUACCGGAUAGGAGCUCCUGCUGCAUGGUGGGCGUUGGAAAGUUUCGGCGGUUGGGGAUGGACUCGCGGCUUAUCAGCUUGUUGGUGGGGUAGUGGCUUACCAAGGCUUUGACGGGUAGCCGGCCUGAGAGGGUGACCGGCCACAUUGGGACUGAGAUACGGCCCAGACUCCUACGGGAGGCAGCAGUGGGGAAUAUUGCACAAUGGGCGGAAGCCUGAUGCAGCAACGCCGCGUGCGGGAUGACGGCCUUCGGGUUGUAAACCGCUUUCGCCUGUGACGAAGCGUGAGUGACGGUAAUGGGUAAAGAAGCACCGGCUAACCACGUG